rnacentral:rRNA from 1 species
ACUCCUACGGGAGGCAGCAGUGGGGAAUAUUGCACAAUGGGCGCAAGCCUGAUGCAGCCAUGCCGCGUGUAUGAAGAAGGCCUUCGGGUUGUAAAGUACUUUCAGCAGUGAGGAAGGGUGGAUAUGUUAAUAGCAUAUCUUNAUUGAUGAUGCUGCAGAAGAAGCACCGGCUAACUCCGUGCCAGCAGCCGCGGUAAUACGGAGGGUGCGAGCGUUAAUCGGAAUUACUGGGCGUAAAGCGCAUGCAGGUGGUUUGUUAAGUCAGAUGUGAAAG